AAGGCAACAGAUAGAAGGGAUGAAUAGAUUCGCUGCAGGAUGUAUGUUCUGUGUGGGACAAAGCCAGAUCUGCUGAAUCGCUCGUCGAGCCCUUUCCUGGCAGCUCGUGGCUGUUCUUGGCAUCAGCGGUUGGAGCUCUAGCCUUUGGAGCAUGUAAACCUGGGUUCCCAUCCGAGAGGCUCCACUUAAGCACUCCUCUAACAAUGUGUGCAUCAGUUCAUUCUGCUCUGUAACAUCAGGGACAGAAGGCACAAUUGUUUCUGCUGUGAUUCCAAAACCAACUGUCGAGAGAAGGCCUUUGGGAGAGCAGCAGUGAGCCAGACAGCAGCUCCCUGGCAGCGCUGGAUGGAGUUCAAGGAAAGUUGUUUGCCUCGCCACCCUCCUGUAAGUUAACAGUAGAUGGUGACUAACAGGAAAGAAACUUCACCAUGGUAUAAACACAAAAAUGUAUUUGCCUUCCAGAUAGGUAGUAACUUUAUCUGAUUAUACUGUGUUCUGUUUCUUGAAUUGUGUUGCUUCUGCAUCGCUCUCUUAGAAGACAGAGAAUUAUUGUUACAAAGCAUGAAUUAUUUACUAGCCCUAUGGACUGGCCCUGUUUUCCACCCCAUCUGCACUUAAAGCCAAUGAGGUUGUGAGUGUGGAAGGAUUCUACCAAGACUGGAAGCAUCUUGACUGACGCCCAUGGCACUGAUCACCACUGGGCAGUUCAGUUAAACGGGGGGGAGAUCUUGCAUAGGGCAGAACCAACUCCAGGAAAAUGAUCUGAUGUGAGCACUAGCGAUACUUAGGCCUGGUUUCAGCAUCCCGAGGUCCUGGAGGAUAUCCAGGUACUCGCCAGGUUUGAAAAGGAGGCUCAGAACUAUUUUGUGCUGCGAUUUCUCUGUUGCUUUGAUGGCUCAAUUUAAAGUGAUGAGCACACUAAAAAUUAAUGAGCAGAUUUGGAGAUAAAGAGGUCUGUAAAACAGGGAUAAUACUUAACUGCCUCACAGGGGGCAUCAGGAUUAAUGAGUUAAUGUUUGCAAAGUGCUUUGAAGAUGAAAAGUGCUAAGUCUGAUUACAUCUGGUGGGUGAAGUAGAUGAGAAUGAAGAAGAGGUUCUCAACUCCAUACUGUAACUAUAGGGUCUCACUAAAUAUCAUAAUAAAUAACGAUCUGAAGCUGG